GACGAACGCUGGCGGCGUGCUUAACACAUGCAAGUCGAACGGAAAGGCCCUGCUUUUGUGGGGUGCUCGAGUGGCGAACGGGUGAGUAACACGUGAGUAACCUGCCCUUGACUUUGGGAUAACUUCAGGAAACUGGGGCUAAUACCGGAUAGGAGCUCCUGCUGCAUGGUGGGGGUUGGAAAGUUUCGGCGGUUGGGGAUGGACUCGCGGCUUAUCAGCUUGUUGGUGGGGUAGUGGCUUACCAAGGCUUUGACGGGUAGCCGGCCUGAGAGGGUGACCGGCCACAUUGGGACUGAGAUACGGCCCAGACUCCUACGGGAGGCAGCAGUGGGGAAUAUUGCACAAUGGGCGGAAGCCUGAUGCAGCAACGCCGCGUGCGGGAUGACGGCCUUCAGGUUGUAAACCGCUUUCGCCUGUGACGAAGCGUGAGUGACGGUAAUGGGUAAAGAAGCACCGGCUAACUACGUGCCAGCAGCCGCGGUGAUACGUAGGGUGCGAGCGUUGUCCGGAUUUAUUGGGCGUAAAAGGCUCGUACGGGGUUGAUCGCGUCGGAAGUGUAAUCUUGGGGCUUAACCCUGAGCGUGCUUUCGAUACGGGUUGACUUGAGGAAGGUAGGGGAGAAUGGAAUUCCUGGUGGAGCGGUGGAAUGCGCAGAUAUCAGGAGGAACACCAGUGGCGAAGGCGGUUCUCUGGGCCUUUCCUGACGCUGAGGAGCGAAAGCGUGGGGAGCGAACAGGCUUAGAUACCCUGGUAGUCCACGCUGUAAACGGUGGGUACUAGGUGUGGGGUCCAUUCCACGGGUUCCGUGCCGUAGCUAACGCUUUAAGUACCCCGCCUGGGGAGUACGGCCGCAAGGCUAAAACUCAAAGGAAUUGACGGGGCCCCGCACAAGCGGCGGAGCAUGCGGAUUAAUUCGAUGCAACGCGUAGAACCUUACCUGGGUUUGACAUGGAUCGGGAGUGCUCAGAGAUGGGUGUGCCUCUUUUGGGGUCGGUUCACAGGUGGUGCAUGGCUGUCGUCAGCUCGUGUCGUGAGAUGUUGGGUUAAGUCCCGCAACGAGCGCAACCCUUGUUCACUGUUGCCAGCACGUUAUGGUGGGGACUCAGUGGAGACCGCCGGGGUCAACUCGGAGGAAGGUGGGGAUGACGUCAAGUCAUCAUGCCCCUUAUGUCCAGGGCUUCACGCAUGCUACAAUGGCUGGUACAGAGAGUGGCGAGCCUGUGAGGGUGAGCGAGUCUCGGAAAGCCGGUCUCAGUUCGGAUUGGGGUCUACAACUCGACCUCAUGAAGUCGGAGUCGCUAGUAAUCGCAGAUCAGCAACGCUGCCGGUGAAUACGUUCCCGGG
rnacentral:rRNA from 1 species